CUCCACCUUGCCAACUUAUCAUGUUGCUUCACGAGGGUUUAUCGGCCAAUGGACAGUGGGGCGAAGGCUACAUUUCUUUAGGUACUCAUGGACAUUUGUGAUUUGCAUGCUGGCCUUUGGGUCGUGGCUAGGGAUUUCAACCUCUUGGUUAACCUUGAGGACAAGAAUAAUGUGGUUGUAAACAUGUACAUGAUUGCUCGCAUCCGAGGAAAUUUGAAUAGGCUUGAACUCAAGGAAAUUUGUCUCAAUGGUCGGAGCUAUACAUGGUCCAAUGAGAGGGAACAACCCACGUUGGAGAACAUCGACCAUGUUUUCACGGUUAUGACGUGGGAAGAGCUCUGCCCCUUAUGUCUUGGCUCGAUAUUGGGGGCGGCCUUAUUUGAUCAUUGUCCAUUGUUGUUGGACUUGGACAUAGAGGUAAAGAUCGGGCGGGGAUUGUUCGAAUGCUUCUCACACAAGGUUGGUGGUUUUUUGGAUGUGGUUUCCAGGGCUUAG
rnacentral:rRNA from 1 species